UACGGGGGGAGCAAGCGUUGUUCGGAUUUACUGGGCGUAAAGGGCGCGUAGGCGGCCACCGCAAGUCGGUUGUGAAAUCUCUGGGCUUAACCCAGAAAGGUCAACCGAUACUGCGGGGCUAGAGUGCAGAAGGGGCAACUGGAAUUCUGGGUGUAGCGGUGAAAUGCGUAGAUAUCGAGAGGAACACCUGCGGCGAAGGCGGGUUGCUGGGCUGACACUGACGCUGAAGCGCGAAAGCUAGGGGAGCGAACGGG
rnacentral:rRNA from 1 species